AUGGAACACCGGGGAGGGGGGAAUUCCCGGACAGUUCGCGAGUUAGCGACUAUCUCUCAGUCGCAUUCCCCCAGUAUGGUGUUCUUAUGUGAGACUAGACAGAAAGCAGAUAAGAUGAGGAGAAUUCGUGGACGUCUUGGCUUGAAGGGGUUCACAGGAGUUGAUACUAAUGAGAUGAGUGGUGGGUUGGCUUUGUUCUGGCACGAGUCAUAUGAGGUGGAAAUAUUGGAAAAAGAGGAGCGUUAUAUUGAUGCCCUUGUGCGUGUCCAGGAGGGUGCGUCUCAGUGGAGGAUUACUUGUGUGUACGGAGAACCGCGAGUGAAGAAUAGACAUGUCAUGUGGGAGAAGUUGCAAAGUUUGAAGAACACAAAUGAUCUACCUUGGCUAGUGGUGGGCCAUUUCAACGAGGCAAUGUGGAACUAUGAAUACCUGUCAGUUACACCGCGUGCUGAACCACAAAUGAUUGCCUUCCGGGACGCCUUGGAGAUUUGUGGUCUAGUGGACUUGGGUUUUGUCGGUAUACCUUUCACGUAUGAUAACAAAAGAGGAGGGUCGGGUAAUGUGCAGGUCCGUUUGGAUAGAGCGGUGGCCACAAAUGCAUGGAGGAAUAUGUUCGCGUUUUCUUCAGUCCUCCAUGUUCCCUCAAAUUGUUCUGACCAUGUGGCUUUAAUAGUAAAAGGAGCAGCAGACCCAGGGCCGAGUGGAGGCAAACAAAGGCGAUAG
rnacentral:rRNA from 1 species